UGUUGGUUUCGUGCUUAGGUUAAUGGCCUGUCUUACAUUUAUCUCUUCUCUUGAAUGCUCAGGUUUUGUCCCCUCUUCUUUCCUCAGGAAAUGAGUUUUGACAUUGCCGAGGACAUGGCCAAAGCGGAACUGAAGUACCAAGAGCCAGCUUUGGCUGGAGAAGCAUACGAGGUAUCACGCACCAAUUUCAUAAUCAUAAUAAUAACCAGGAAGCUGCUGCUCUCAAAUCAGAGCCCACAGAACCACCUCUUGAAAUGACAUCAGAGGUCAUUGAUGACAUGAAAUUUAUAAAAGUUGAAGAACAAACUCACAACGAGCAAAUAAACUGCCUAUGGAGUAGGCCUCGAAGAAGGAAUGGCGGUACUAACCUUUCCAUAGCAAAAGUCAAGGCAAUAGCAAGCGAAUAUGCAAACACCAGCAACGCAUUUUCACACCGUUGGUUUACAGCAUUGUAUCCUAGGGGCCCUAUCAUAUCAUGCCCCGGCUGUCCGCUACCUGUUGAGUU
rnacentral:misc_RNA from 1 species